GUAGUUGGUGAGGUAAUGGCUCACCAAGCCUACGACGGGUAGCCGGCCUGAGAGGGUGACCGGCCACACUGGGACUGAGACACGGCCCAGACUCCUACGGGAGGCAGCAGUGGGGAAUAUUGCACAAUGGGCGAAAGCCUGAUGCAGCAACGCCGCGUGAGGGACGACGGCCUUCGGGUUGUAAACCUCUUUUAGUAGGGAAGAAGCGAAAGUGACGGUACCUGCAGAAAAAGCACCGGCUAACUACGUGCCAGCAGCCGCGGUAAUACGUAGGGUGCAAGCGUUGUCCGGAAUUAUUGGGCGUAAAGAGCUCGUAGGCGGUUUGUCGCGUCUGCUGUGAAAACUGGAGGCUCAACCUCCAGCCUGCAGUGGGUACGGGCAGACUAGAGUGCGGUAGGGGAGAUUGGAAUUCCUGGUGUAGCGGUGGAAUGCGCAGAUAUCAGGAGGAACACCGAUGGCGAAGGCAGAUCUCUGGGCCGUAACUGACGCUGAGGAGCGAAAGCAUGGGGAGCGAACAGGAUUAGAUACCCUGGUAGUCCAUGCCGUAAACGUUGGGAACUAGAUGUGGGGGCCAUUCCACGGUCUCCGUGUCGCAGCUAACGCAUUAAGUUCCCCGCCUGGGGAGUAC
rnacentral:rRNA from 1 species